UAGCCUAGUGGUUAAGGCUAUGGAUCGCCAAUUCAGAGACGACGGGUUAGAUUCCCGU
rfam:Aedes albopictus isolate Foshan contig152388, whole genome shotgun sequence.